AGUGAACGCUGGCGGUAGGCCUAACACAUGCAAGUCGAACGGCAGCACAGUAAGAGCUUGCUCUUACGGGUGGCGAGUGGCGGACGGGUGAGGAAUACAUCGGAAUCUACUUUUUCGUGGGGGAUAACGUAGGGAAACUUAUGCUAAUACCGCAUACGACCUACGGGUGAAAGCAGGGGAUCUUCGGACCUUGCGCGAUUGAAUGAGCCGAUGUCGGAUUAGCUAGUUGGCGGGGUAAAGGCCCACCAAGGCAACGCUCCGUAGCUGAUCUGAGAGGAUGAUCAGCCACACUGGAACUGAGACACGGUCCAGACUCCUACGGGAGGCAGCAGUGGGGAAUAUUGGACAAUGGGCGCAAGCCUGAUCCAGCCAUACCGCGUGGGUGAAGAAGGCCUUCGGGUUGUAAAGCCCUUUUAUUGGGAAAGAAAAGCAGCAGGUUAAUACCCCGCUGUUCUGACGGUACCCAAAGAAUAAGCACCGGCUAACUUCGUG
rnacentral:rRNA from 1 species